rnacentral:lncRNA from 1 species
AUGACCUGUGUGGCGGGGGGACAGGGGUUACCUGGCCGGGGUCCGGCUGCGACGACGAGGGCGGCGGCGGCGGGGGUGGGGGCGUGGCCGGGGGCAUCUCCCCGCUGUAGAGCUGGGGCGGGGGGCGUGUCUCGCGGUGCUGCGGUGGCGCCCGGCGGUACGGCUUCCUGCUGGGGGCGGCGCUGGUCAUCCUGGGCGUGGCGCGGGGGCGUGGCCAGCUGGGGGCUCCGAGUCGUGGUUAUCCUGAGGAGGGGAAGGAGGGGGAGGGGGGGGUCAGCGCCGGAAGCCAAAAGACCCGGUCGGUUCCCCCAGGACCCGGACACUAAGCACUCUACACCCAGCCUGUCUCUCUCCUCCUCACCCUCGGCCUCUCUCCUCCUCACCCUCGGCCUCUCUCCUCCUCACCCUCGGCCUCUCCUCCUCACCCUCGGUCUCUCCUCCUCACCCUCGGCCUCUCUCCUCCUCACCCUCGGCCUCUCUCCUCCUCACCCUCGGCCUCUCUCCUCCUCACCCUCGGCCUCUCUCCUCCUCACCCUCGGCCUCUCUCCUCCUCACCCUCGGCCUCUCUCCUCCUCACCCUCGGCCUCUCUCCUCCUCACCCUCGGCCUCUCUCCUCCUCACCCUCGGCCUCUCUCCUCCUCACCCUCGGCCUCUCCUCCUCACCCUCGGCCUCUCUCCUCCUCACCCUCGGCCUCUCCUCCUCACCCUCGGCCUCUCCUCCUCACCCUCGGUCUCUCUCCUCCUCACCCUCGGUCUCUCUCCUCCUCACCCUCGGUCUCUCUCCUCCUCACCCUCGGUCUCUCUCCUCCUCACCCUCGGUCUCUCCUCCUCACCCUCGGUCUCUCUCCUCCUCACCCUCGGUCUCUCCUCCUCACCCUCGGUCUCUCUCCUCCUCACCCUCGGUCUCUCUCCUCCUCACCCUCGGUCUCUCUCCUCCUCACCCUCGGUCUCUCUCCUCCUCACCCUCGGUCUCUCUCCUCCUCACCCUCGGUCUCUCUCCUCCUCACCCUCGGUCUCUCUCCUCCUCACCCUCGGUCUCUCCUCCUCACCCUCGGUCUCUUCCUCCUCACCCUCGGUCUCUUCCUCCUCACCCUCGGUCUCUCCCUCCUCACCCUCGGUCUCUCCUCCUCACCCUCGGUCUCUUCCUCCUCACCCUCGGUCUCUCCUCCUCACCCUCGGUCUCUCCUCCUCACCCUCGGUCUCUCCUCCUCACCCUCGGUCUCUCCUCCUCACCCUCGGUCUCUCUCCUCCUCACCCUCGGUCUCUCUCCUCCUCACCCUCGGUCUCUCUCCUCCUCACCCUCGGUCUCUCUCCUCCUCACCCUCGGUCUCUCUCCUCCUCACCCUCGGUCUCUCUCCUCCUCACCCUCGGUCUCUCUCCUCCUCACCCUCGGUCUCUCCUCCUCACCCUCGGUCUCUUCCUCCUCACCCUCGGUCUCUUCCUCCUCACCCUCGGUCUCUUCCUCCUCACCCUCGGUCUCUUCCUCCUCACCCUCGGUCUCUUCCUCCUCACCCUCGGUCUCUCCUCCUCACCCUCGGUCUCUCCUCCUCACCCUCGGUCUCUCCUCCUCACCCUCGGUCUCACUCCUCGGUCUCACUCCUCGUCUCUCCCCUCGUCUCUCCUCCUCACCCUCUCUCCUCUACACAUGAAACAUCUCUUCUGUCUGUAUUGCUACACCACCUCUGUCCCUCUUUCUAA